AGGACAGCGAAGCCUGGUGGUUAAGGAGGCCAGCCUGGGCUGAAAUCCCAGCUGUAUCCAGGCUACUGUGUGCCUCAGUUUCUGGAUCCAUCAAGCGGGAGCCAAGGGCAGCCAGGCAACUCUGUGGCCUGUCCUGGUCUCUGACUCACCCUGAAGAAUGAGAAACCUGUUUAAAGUGAAGUGUGAUGGAAUCAAGUCAGACGUGAGGAAGGACCUACCUCCUUGGUCAAAGCUGGGUUGGGGAUCUUGCUCUGUUGCCCAGGCUGGAGUGCAGCGGUGGAAUCAUAGCUCAUCAAAAGCUCAACCUUCCAGGCUCAAGUGACGCUUCUCCUGUCUCCGCCUCUUGAGUAGCUGG